GACGAACGCUGGCGGCGUGCUUAACACAUGCAAGUCGAGCGGUAAGGCCCUUUCGGGGGUACACGAGCGGCGAACGGGUGAGUAACACGUGGGUGACCUGCCCUCAGCUCUGGGAUAAGCCUGGGAAACUGGGUCUAAUACUGGAUAUGACUCCACGGUGCAUGUCGUGGGGUGGAAAGCCUUGUGCGGCUGAGGAUGGGCCCGCGGCCUAUCAGCUUGUUGGUGGGGUGANGGCCUACCAAGGCGACGACGGGUAGCCGGCCUGAGAGGGCGACCGGCCACACUGGGACUGAGACACGGCCCAGACUUCUACGGGAGGCAGCAGUGGGGAAUCUUGCGCAAUGGGCGAAAGCCUGACGCAGCGACGCCGCGUGAGGGAUGACGGCCU
rnacentral:rRNA from 1 species